rnacentral:rRNA from 1 species
GAUGAACGCUGGCGGCGUGCCUAACACAUGCAAGUCGUACGAAAAAGAAAUUUUUAGUGGCAAACGGGUGAGUAACGCGUGAGAAUUUACUCUUAUGGUAGAGGAUAACUUUUAGAAAUAUUAGCUAAAACUCUAUAUGCUUUUAAUAAGUGAAAAAAGAAAUUUGCCUAAGAAAAAGCUCGCGUCUGUUUAGCUAGUUGGUAGGGUAAAGGCCUACAAAGGCGAUGAUCAGUAGCUGGUCUGAGAGGAUGAUAAGCCACACUGGAACUGAGACACGAUCCAGACUCCUACGGGAGGCAGCAGUGAGGAAUUUUCUGCAAUGGGCGAAAGCCUGACAGAGCAACGCCUCGUGAGGGAAGAAGGCCUUCGGGUUGUAAACCUCUUUUCUCAAGGAGGAAGAUCUGACGUUACUUGAGGAAUAAGCAUCGGCUAACCCUGUGCCAGCAGCCGCCGUAACAC